UACAGAGGGGGCAAGCGUUGUUCGGAAUUACUGGGCGUAAAGGGCGCGUAGGCGGCCUUCUAAGUCGAACGUGAAAUCCCUGGGCUCAACCCAGGAACUGCGUCCGAUACUGGAAGGCUUGAAUCCGGGAGAGGGAUGCGGAAUUCCAGGUGUAGCGGUGAAAUGCGUAGAUAUCUGGAGGAACACCGGUGGCGAAGGCGGCGUUCUGGACUGCAACUGACACUGAUGAACGAAAGCCAGGGGAGCAAACGGG
rnacentral:rRNA from 1 species